UGGCGACGGGUGAGUAACGCGUGGAUAAUCUGCCCUACACAGGGGGAUAACAGCCGGAAACGGCUGCUAAUACCGCAUAGACUGUAUUCUCGCAUGAGAGAACAGGGAAAGAUUUAUCGGUGUAGGAUGAAUCCGCGUCCGAUUAGCUAGUUGGAGGGGUAACGGCCCACCAAGGCGACGAUCAGUAGCCGGCCUGAGAGGGUGGACGGCCACAUUGGGACUGAGACACGGCCCAAACUCCUACGGGAGGCAGCAG
rnacentral:rRNA from 1 species